CGGGUGAGUAACGCGUGGAUAAUCUGCCCGAGGAUUUGGGAUAACAUCUCGAAAGGGGUGCUAAUACCGAAUAAGCCCACGGGGUCUACGGAUCUUGCGGGAAAAGGGGGGGACUUUCGGGCCUCCUGUCUUCGGAUGAGUCCGCGUACCAUUAGCUAGUUGGUAGGGUAAUGGCCUACCAAGGCGACGAUGGUUAGCUGGUCUGAGAGGAUGAUCAGCCACACUGGAACUGAGACACGGUCCAGACUCCUACGGGAGGCAGCAGUGGGGAAUUUUGCGCAAUGGGGGAAACCCUGACGCAGCAACGCCGCGUGGGUGAUGAAGGCCUUCGGGUCGUAAAGCCCUGUCGGGAGGGAAGAAAUGAUUGAGAGCUAAUACCUCUUGGUCUUGACGGUACCUCCGAAGGAAGCACCGGCUAACUCCGUGCCAGCAGCCGCGGUAAUACGGAGGGUGCAAGCGUUGUUCGGAAUUAUUGGGCGUAAAGCGCGUGUAGGCGGUCUUUUAAGUCUGAUGUGAAAGCCCCGGGCUCAACCUGGGAAGUGCAUUGGAAACUGGGAGACUUGAGUACGGGAGAGGAGAGUGGAAUUCCUAGUGUAGGAGUGAAAUCCGUAGAUAUUAGGAGGAACACCGGUGGCGAAGGCGGCUCUCUGGACCGAUACUGACGCUGAGACGCGAAAGCGUGGGUAGCAAACAGGAUUAGAUACCCUGGUAGUCCACGCCGUAAACGAUGAGUACUAGGUGUUGCG
rnacentral:rRNA from 1 species